rnacentral:rRNA from 1 species
UACGUAGGGUGCAAGCGUUAAUCGGAAUUACUGGGCGUAAAGCGUGCGCAGGCGGUUGUGCAAGACAGAUGUGAAAUCCCCGGGCUUAACCUGGGAAUAGCAUUUGUGACUGCACGGCUAGAGUGUGUCAGAGGGGGGUAGAAUUCCACGUGUAGCAGUGAAAUGCGUAGAGAUGUGGAGGAAUACCGAUGGCGAAGGCAGUCCCCUGGGAUAACACUGACGCUCAUGCACGAAAGCGUGGGGAGCAAACAGG